rnacentral:misc_RNA from 1 species
GGCAGCCAAUAUUUAUCAAGCUCUCACUUUACAAACUAAUGCCUUGGUCCCAUUCACUACAAGCGUGGCCUUGAGCUACAACUUCCAUAAACAUGCAUUUUUUUAUUGCACUCUCGUCAUAGCUCAGUGGAAAUUGGAGUGCAUAUUGAUGACUAAUAUCAACUAUUUAAAUUCAAAAUUUUCUUGCAAAACCGGUAAAGCUCCUCAGCAACCACAGUGGGAUACCGUUCUUGCUGCAGAAGAGUGCCUGGAACCUCAACAAAUUUGAUGACACCUUUGGCUCCUUGAGUACUUUCCAUCUCUGCUUUUGACCUCUUUGGAGAUCCUUCAGUUGACAUGACAAGAACUGGUAGCUUUCCAUCCAAAACUGCAAAGAGUUCAAGAAACUCUUCUCAAGAUUAACUGGGUAAAGGAGACCUGUCAAGAAAGCAGCAGGUGCAUAUCGAGCGCCCUUCUUUUAUGUUAGUGCAUAUUUACUUUCAACAAUAUCUGGAGUCAAAUUAUCAGGAUUUGCAUAGACAUGAGAUUUGUAUUGGGAUUGAAUUGCCUUCUUAUUGUUGACACAAGCAUGUUAUACACCAUCUAACCCACACCAGGGGCUUUUAAGGUGCCCCUAAGCAUUCCAUACCUUGCUUCCAUGCUGGAGUCUCGACCAAACACAAUAGGAAGAGGACCAGCCCAGGUUGGUGCAACGGCUGCUAUGGCAGUUGGAUUAACCAAACCCUUCUUUGCAGCACGAAGUAGUAUUGUGGCAGCAUGCCCUCCACAAAAGACCACCAAAUCCUUUUCUGGAUCAAUUACAGAAAAUUUUUAGCAAGGUUCAUGGUCAAUAAUUUUCCACCAGCAAUUUCCAGUAUAAAAUAAUACUCUGGAAAAAGAUUAAAUGUACAUGGUGGUGGACAUAUGAAGAAGCUGGAAAAGGUGUUUCUCUUUUUCAAUUCAAGUGACAAAGAAAGUGAACCCAAGGUUCUAAGAUUUCUUUCAAUCUACAUGUCACCAUUAGGUCCAUGACACACUACGAAGUCCAUGGAAACAAUAAAAUCUUCUCUGCAGCUUUAUAACCAGAGGAUAAAAGAGACUGAAAUGAGAACACCAAGUAUACAAAAUCCAACAGACAUAAAGAUGGCAACGACAGAGCUAAUGACAAUUCCCAAGGAAUUUUUUGAACUGAUAAAUACCCAAGUAAGGUUUAGUUACAAGAGCAAUAAGACAAAAAAGUGCACAGAAUCCAACAGAUGCAAAGAUGUUGAGAACAACAGAGGUGAGGACAAUAAAUCAACAUUUUAACUGACAAAGAAAAACAUAAGAUUAAGAAAUUUUGUUUAUCACAGGGAUUGGGGUUUUCUUUUAUUUAUGUCUUUUUUCAUACAGAGCAAAUUGUGCCCCAACAGGCAGCAUUGGUUAAAGCAAGACUAAAAUCAACAGAAGAGAAGAAAUUUCAGAAAAUCAAACAACAUGUAGAUUAUUUAUAAAAUGAUAUAUAAAGCUAUCGUUAAGAAUGGGUAUGAUAUAAGCCAUCAAAAGAAUGAAAGCAACGUAUUCCUAGUGAUGGUUAAAGACAAUCAACAAAUAGAUAGUCACUUUGUACCAUCUGAGUACCGCAAUGGACUAUCUGGUGCAUUUAUGAAGUCAACUACAAAUUUCUCCAUGAUAUCGGCAUUGUAAUCUAUUUUUGGCCUGUCAGAAUAUCCCAAACCAGGCCAAUCAACAAUUGUAGCCUGCCAAUUAAUUUUACCAACUCGUUGAACAAUAUCUCUGGCCACUGAUCUCCAUUCUUCAACUGUGCUAACAUCAGAAAUGGUAGGUACCAUAAGGAUAUUUUUGGGAGGAUCAGAGCUCUCCUUUGCAUGUUCUUCAUAAUAGAUGUUUAUAGAGUUGUCCUUAAAUUUCCAUUCCCAAUUAUUUGACUGAAAGCAAAGAGAAUGGUAAUAAGAAAAACAUAUGUAACUUAACUUCAUUAUUAAUAUCACAAUGAAUGAUACUGGAAGAAAGAGAAAUUAAAAAAGAUCAUCUGAUUAGAUAAUGGAAUUACAAGUUCUGCACAAUUCUUGACCUAGCACAAAAUGUUGCAGCUGCAUACAUUAAGGUUUUGGCAAAGAAUAGUUUAACAUUGUGUCAUUGUUAAACAAUGGGGUAAGAAACCAUGAUCUGUGUUAUGCACAAAUUCCUCACGGAGUCACAUGUUUGUAGGAAUUAAACUGAGACUGUAGAAAGCAUGCAUAUGGAAAUUUUACUACUUGAAAUUGAUUAGCUUCCUCAUAAAUGUUGACCACGUGUCAGAUUUUCAGUGGAAAGCAAUUAUAGUGGCUGACAUUGUAGAAUGAGAGAGCAUUGAGAUUCGAAGGAAGUCUCCUUGAGAAAACCUCUCUUUCAAGUCUUUCCACACAUCAACUGCUUUGACUAUCCAUAAAAUGCUCUUUAAUGGGAUUGUCGGUUUAUCGGCCACGGAGGCUGUGGAGUAAUCCAGAGAAGUUGAAGAAGCUUUAACCGAAAUGGGCUUUGGAAAGAGAGAUGAUCUGUAAGUUCUGCAAGAAAGAGUGAGAGACGGUGUGGAAGAGAUGAAGAAUGUAGCAGAGAAGGCCAUGGUUUUUGAGCUAGGGUUGUGGGAACAGAGAAUGGGAGGGAGGGCCUUGAUGAGAAGUACUUCAAUUGUCAACGUGCUUGAAGCAUAGCCUUGACAGUAGUUGACACUCUGAUUUUUGGUAAUUUCCAAAGGAGAUAUUAAAAAAAUGAGACUUUUGGUAAUAUUUCAAUAACUUUGGGGUCGUUUCUAAUAAUUUUUGGACGGCGGCGUUUAGGCGGGCUUUUACUUGCAGCAACGGCAUGUCGUUGAUACCUCGCUGUCCCCAGGCGCCCGUGUUCUUUUCUUCCAAAAAAGUACAACUCAAUUAAAAAUUAUUGUAUGCGGAGAACAAGCAUUCGUGAGAAAUUGCUUUUUAUCUACUAGAACACUUCCUAUACUUAAAAAAUCCAAUUGUAGCACACCAUCUAAUUAUGACCUGCUAUAUUGUUUCAUACAUCUGCCUUCUUUUCCGGCUAGUUCCAUUAGCAAGCCAAACAUCCAAUGCCUAUAAUCACUCAACAAAUGGGAAAACAUUCAUAUAAAUUUCAAUAAGACGCCCAUAUUCAUCAGAACUAUCAGAAUCACGCUAACCCCAUCCAUCUUAAUAGCUUGCUCAAGUAACACCCGUAAAUAGACGAAGGUCCACUAUCCCCCCAUUGUCUUCAGAGCUCUAUCUGCAAUGAGUCUGAUUGCAUUUUUUUCACUUGUUCCAAUUUUUUUGUAUCAGAUUAUUGCCCUUCUUAAAUCACAGAAACUUUAUGUUUCACUUGCAUCAUUCUUCACUGCUUAGUGGUCCACUGGUCCCUAAUUACCAGUAAUCUUCACAUGAACAAGAACCAUUUCUGAAAGAGUGGAAGCGGCUUCUAUCUCUGACCACAAUCUCCAAUUUAUAAACCUGAGAAAUCAGCUUCAUCACUACAUGACAGUCCCUGCAGAUCCUCAAAUUCUUAACUAUUCUUAUAGUCUUUCCCUCACACAAUCUUGCUAUCCCAAAAGCUACUGCAAGCUUUUCACUAUGCGUAGACACUGAAUCUUCUUUCUCUUCCUCAUCUAUGUCAUGCAAAACACUCCCAAUCUCUGGAACAUAACCUCCUUCAACCCUAAGCCUCAAAAUUAUGUCUUUCAGCAUCUCAUAAGCCUCUUCCAUAAUUUUAUCUUGUUUUGGACCCGCCAUAAAAGUGUACAUGACCUUGUCAACUUCAAUCAUGCUCCAACCAGGAGUUUUUUUAAUUCUCUGAUCAGUCAUUGAUCUUCUCACAGCAGCAACAUCCUUCCAUUUCCCUGCGACUGCAUAAAUGUUUGACAAUAGAACGUGGUCACUAGAGUUGUUUGGGUCGAGCUCAGAAAGCCUUUCCUUUACCUUUUCGGCCAACUUGACAUUACCAUGAAUACUACAAGCCCCAAGAAGUGUCCGCCAAAUGACAUCAUUAGGUGGAAUUGGCAUUUGAAAAACAAAUUCAUAGGCCUUCUGCAGCUGACCAGCUCGACCAUAUAGAUCAACCAUGCAACCAUAAUGCUCAAUGGCUGGUUUUAUAUUGUACACAUCUCUCAUCUUAUUAAAAUAUUCACAUCCUUGCUCGAUCAAUCCAGCAUGACUACAAGCAUAUAAAAGUGAAAUAAAGGUGAUUCCAUCAGGCCUAGUUUCAGACCUUUCCAUCUCAUGGAAAAGCCUAAUAGCUUCUUCUCCAUGACCAUGCAUUGCAAGUCCCACCAUCAUUGAAGUCCAAGAAACAAUGCUCUUUUUCUCUGGCAUUCGUUCAAAGACCAGUCGAGCCAUACUUAAAUUCCCACAUUUCGAGUAAGCAUCUAGUAACGCAUUAUUCACUGAUAUAAUCCAAAUAAGCCCAGCUUUCUCAAUAAACCCAUGUAAUAUUUUCCCAAACUCGAACGCUCCUGCCUGUGCACAUGCUGAAAGGACCCCUGUCAGGCUUACUUCAUUCGGUCUAGUCCCAUCCCUCUGCAACUUCCUAAAAAACCCAAAAGCCUCAUCGAAAUAACCAUUAUGAGCAAACCCAACAAUUAUGGUACUCCAGGAUACAUCAUCCUUUACAGGCAUCUCCAUAAACAUUUUCCUUGCAAGCUCUAGCUCCCCUUCUUUCACAUGUCCCGCAAGCAUCACAUUCCACGAGGUCAAGUCCCUAAAGGGCAUCAAAUCAAACAUUUCCCUCGCACCCUUGACAUUCCCAACCCUAAAAAAUGCAGUGAUCACCGCAUUCCACGCAACAACAUUUGGUUCAUGCAUUUCGUCGAACACCUUCCUCGCCGAUCGAAUACACCCACAUUCUCCGUACAUGCUGACCAAAGUUGUCCCAACAAAAAGAUGGGCAGUUAACCCAUGAGUCAAUGCUUGGCAAUGCAAUUGAAUUCCCGCUCUCAAGGACCUUAAAUUAGCAGUCGCCUUGAGAAUGAAAGCAAACGAGAAACUAUCAGGAGAGGAAAGCAUUUUCUUCCUCAUUUCAAUGAAUAAAAUGAUUGAAUUUUGCUGUUUACCCGCUUCGGCAAGGCCUCGAAUGAGGGUGUUAUACAUGAAGACAUCUGGCUUUGGAGUGUGGCGAAAGAGGCUGCAAGCAUAGUCCAGUGUAUCGGGGAGUACCACUGUGCAGCGGAGGAGUAGUUUUCCAACAAGGAAAGGGUCAGUGUCGAGGCCGGUUUUGAGUACAUUGGCCUGGAUUUGCUUGAGGGACGUUAGGGUCUUGCAACUAUUCAACAGAGAGAGACAGUGGACAAGCGAGUUGUUCAUUAGACAGUACCAGUGCUCUGUGGGCUGUGCACUUAAAAAACAAUAAUAAAAAAGAUGAUUAUAUGUCAACAGUUAAAAGGAUAUUUUCUUUUAUAUGCUUCUGCCUUGGUGUUAAUCAUCAUUCAUCAUUUGCUGUAUUUGCAGAUUCCUCACUUGAAGCCUGCUGAAUAUAAGAAGUCUAGGUUACAUUGAAAUAGAACUGUGAACCAUGUAUAUGUGUUGCUGGGAAGUGCUGUCAGGGAGAGGUUUG